rnacentral:rRNA from 1 species
UACGGAGGGUGCAAGCGUUAUUCGGAAUUACUGGGCGUAAAGCGCACGUAGGCCGCUUUGUAAGUCAGGGGUGAAAUCCCACGGCUCAACCGUGGAACUGCCCUUGAAACUGCAGAGCUUGAAUCCUGGAGAGGGUGGCGGAAUUCCUGGUGUAGGAGUGAAAUCCGUAGAUAUCAGGAGGAACACCGGUGGCGAAGGCGGCCACCUGGACAGGUAUUGACGCUGAGGUGCGAAAGUGUGGGGAGCAAACAGGAUUAGAUACCCUGGUAGUCCACACCGUAAACGAUGGAUACUAGGUGUCGGGGACUUGAUCUUCGGUGCCGUAGCUAACGCGUUAAGUAUCCCGCCUGGGGAGUACGGUCGCAAGGCUGAA